rnacentral:rRNA from 1 species
GAUGAACGCUAGCUACAGGCUUAACACAUGCAAGUCGAGGGGUAGCAGGGUAGCAAUACCGCUGACGACCGGCGCACGGGUGAGUAACACGUAUCGAACCUUCCCAUAACUCGGGGAUAGCCUUUCGAAAGAAAGGUCAAUACCGGAUCGUACUUUUGCAAGGCAUCUCGAGAAAGUGAAAGAAUUCUUGGUUAUGGAUGGGGAUGCGUUCGAUUAGAUAGUUGGUGAGGUAACGGCCUACCAAGUCUUCGAUGGAUAGGGGUUCUGAGAGGAAGGUCCCCCACAUUGGUACUGAGACACGGACCAAACUCCUACGGGAGGCAGCAGUGAGGAAUAUUGGUCAAUGGGCGAGAGCCUGAACCAGCCAAGUAGCGUGAAGGAUGAAGGUCCUAUGGAUUGUAAACUUCUUUUAUAGUAGAAUAAAGUGAUCCACGUGUGGAUUUUUGUAUGUAUACUAUGAAUAAGGAUCGGCUAACUCCGUGCCAGCCGCCGCCGUAA